CCUACGGGAGGCAGCAGUGAGGAAUAUUGGUCAAUGGACGCGAGUCUGAACCAGCCAUGUAGCGUGCAGGAUGACUGCCCUAUGAGUUGUAAACUUCUUUUAUAUGGGAAUAAAACGUUCCACGUGUGGGAUUUUGUAUGUACCAUAUGAAUAAGGAUCGGCUAACUCCGUGCCAGCAGCCGCGGUAAUACGGAGGAUCCGAGCGUUAUCCGGAUUUAUUGGGUUUAAAGGGAGCGUAGGUGGAUUGUUAAGUCAGUGGUGAAAGUUUGCGGCUCAACCGUAAAAUUGCAGUUGAAACUGGCAGUCUUGAGUACAGUAGAGGUGGGCGGAAUGUGUGGUGUAGCGGUGAAAUGCUUAGAGAUCACGAAGAACUCCGAUUGCGAAGGCAGUUCACUGGACUGCAACUGACACUGAGGCUCGAAAGUGUGGGUAGCAAACAGGAUUAGAUACCCGUGUAGUC
rnacentral:rRNA from 1 species